GUGCUUGCUUCAACAGCACGCAUACUAAAAUUGGAACGACAUAGAGAAGAUUAGCAUGGCCCCUGCGCAAGGAUAACAUGCACAUUCAUGUGGCUCUGGCCAAGUCA